CAGAUGUGGUGGUGGGAUGUUGGCCUCUCGAUGACAUUUAAGAGGUUCAAAACGUGUGGCCAUGGAAAGUGAGGCCCUGACUACUGCCCUGUAGAAGGACGAAUGAGGUGUUUACCUAUGAUUUGGACGUGGGGCCGUACCUCCGUGUUGAGGUGGGAAAUGGCUUUGUGGGACAUGAAAAACCUCGUUAAGCUAGGUCCGGAGCCCAGACCCUGUAAGCCAGUUCACACACCUUCUAUGGGAUACUUGAAAAUUAAAUAAUUGGUGGAUACUAACCUUCAUAGUGGUUAUACCCUGGAGCUUGAACCUUUG